UUGGGUUAAGUCCCGCAACGAGCGCAACCCUUGUCCAUAGUUGCCACCAUUCAGUUGGGCACUCUAUGGAGACCGCCGGUGACAAAUCGGAGGAAGGUGGGGACGACGUCAAGUCAUCAUGGCCCUUAUGACCAGGGCUACACACGUGCUACAAUGGCCAGUACAAAGGGUUGCCAACCCGCGAGGGGGAGCUAAUCCCAGAAAGCUGGUCGUAGUCCAGAUCGGAGUCUGCAACUCGACUCCGUGAAGCCGGAAUCGCUAGUAAUCGCAAAUCAGCAUUGUUGCGGUGAAUACGUUCCCGGGUCUUGUACACACCGCCCGUCACACCAUGGAAGUUGGUUGCACCAGAAGUAGGUAGCCUAACCGCAAGGAGGGCGCUUACCACGGUGUGGCUAAUGAUUGGGGUGAAGUCGUAACAAGGUAACCA
rnacentral:rRNA from 1 species